UUCAGGUAAGCAAUUAUUCUUGACAAGGUAAGACAUAAAGAAAUUUUAAUAAUUAUAGCCAAAUGGACUAUAUAUGUUUUAGUGGAAAAUAAUAUCAUAUACUUUAGAAGUGGUUCAGUUGCUGCCAGUUGGACUUGAUUUGAGUUAAAUUAUUUACCUUAUUUAAUUAAAUUAAAAUUAUGGCUUUGAAUAUUAUCUAAUAAACUAAUUGCUCACUCCUUUGAUGAAAAAAGUCCAGGUCUUGGAAACAUACUGUUAUUCACUGAAGCUACUUAAAAAAAAAUGGAUACUUUUCAGAUGCCUUACUGAAAAUGAAAUGUGGGAUCUCUUUAUUUUGCUUUACUUCCACUUUCAGCCAAAUGAAAACAACCCCCCUCUGCCUGAAGCAGUAAAAGAGUCAAGCCAUGGCAUUUUGAUUCCAACCAGCCUGGCCCUGUGGUGGGAAUCUGCGCUAAGGCACUGCAGUUGUAUGGGCUGGAAUAGCCUCUUGACUUCAUCGUUGUCCCACCCAGCCAUUCUUUAGACUCUCUUCAGAAUAAAAAUAUGCCAGAUCACAAGCCAUGGCGCUGAAAAGAGAGUCUACUCACCUCGCAGAGUUGGGAGGGUGGUGGCUGUGGGAGCGUGGUCAAGCACAAGUCCUUUUGGUGUGAGAGUUGAGCCAUGAACCUCCUGUGUGUUUCCGAUGGGAGUCAAAAAAACCCUAUUUGAAGCAGUACUUCUCUGUGCUACUUCUCUGCUACUCCAACUUGUGGGCAUGCAGAGCUGGUCAUUGUGGUAAGGGGCUGUUGGCUGGCUUUCAACACCGGCAAUUGUUCAGCAUUUCUGUAGGACACUGUGGUUCAAACAUUUCUGCUGACUUUCUCUUUGUUUUGUGAAAUCUUCAGCCUACAGGAAGCGUCGUAAAUAUAUGUAUUACAAAUUGAAAUAAAUAUGUAAGUACUACUUCUCAAGGUCAUUGCUGGCAGCAUCCAGCACUGACCUGCUGUUUGCGUGGGGUCUCAGUACGUCAUGGUAAAAAGGAAGGCUCAGCCUCCCAGGUGCAGCCCUGAGCAUUGUCCAAAGCACAUGGCCUGCCCAGCCACCAGAGUUUAGGCUCUGAAGUGCCUCACUUGUCUUCUGCGGAGGGAUGCAUCUUUUUUCUUCUUUUGCAUUAGGUUCUCGUCACUCCUGAUACCAUAAGCAUGGUGAUACAGCUGUGGCAGAAGAUGCCUUUCACCUUUCCUUUCAUUCGUUAUCCCUCCUAUCACAGAGUAUGUUGAUACAUGUGUUUUGCCUAGAUCCUUUCCUGUAAAUUUGGAGGGUAAAUCUCUCCAUCACAUGUCAUCAUUGUCUAUAAUUACUGUUCUGUCACUGUCCUGGAGAGGAGCUGCUUCUGUCACCCCAUCAUCAGUUUUCUUCUCAUCUUUUUGAAGCUCCACUUUCUCUUGUAGGUACCCAGGAGCAGGUUGAUGAUAGACUCUGUGAUGUUUUUUGAUCUUUCCCCUCAUACCCUUGGAUCUUACCAAUCUUCCUUACCUUUCUGUCAUUGCUAAUAAAUUUUCUUUCUGUUAAUGCUCUCUGUAUGUUAAUAUCCCUACAGGAAAAGACACUGUAGAAGCAAAUAAUGAUUCAAGAGACAUUACCUUGGUUUGGCCGGUAUGUGCACUUUUAGCAAUGGCAGUCCAUGGAAGUCUUCUAGCUCUCUCCAAGGCCAGCCAGGACGUAGCAUCUCAAGCAAUCAAGAAAUGGCAUUUCCAGCCUCCCCUGGUCACAAAGGGACAUGUCUUGUUCCCCUCCAAGCAGCGCUGGUGCCCGAUGGCUCUGGAAGAAGAAAUCUCAUGACCACGCUGCUGCUCAGGCAGAGACUUCGUCAUGGUAAUCUAUGGCUCUGUGGCCUUAAGACCAGAUUACUACAAUGAAACCCCCUCAAACCACCUGCAGACCGGAGCUGCCGCAGAGAAGAAUGACUG